UGCCCAUAAGACUGGGAUAACUCCGGGAAACCGGGGCUAAUACCGGAUAACAUUUUGAACCGCAUGGUUCGAAAUUGAAAGGCGGCUUCGGCUGUCACUUAUGGAUGGACCCGCGUCGCAUUAGCUAGUUGGUGAGGUAACGGCUCACCAAGGCAACGAUGCGUAGCCGACCUGAGAGGGUGAUCGGCCACACUGGGACUGAGACACGGCCCAGACUCCUACGGGAGGCAGCAGUAGGGAAUCUUCCGCAAUGGACGAAAGUCUGACGGAGCAACGCCGCGUGAGUGAUGAAGGCUUUCGGGUCGUAAAACUCUGUUGUUAGGGAAGAACAAGUGCUAGUUGAAUAAGCUGGCACCUUGACGGUACCUAACCAGAAAGCCACGGCUAACUACGUGCCAGCAGCCGCGGUAAUACGUAGGUGGCAAGCGUUAUCCGGAAUUAUUGGGCGUAAAGCGCGCGCAGGUGGUUUCUUAAGUCUGAUGUGAAAGCCCACGGCUCAACCGUGGAGGGUCAUUGGAAACUGGGAGACUUGAGUGCAGAAGAGGAAAGUGGAAUUCCAUGUGUAGCGGUGAAAUGCGUAGAGAUAUGGAGGAACACCAGUGGCGAAGGCGACUUUCUGGUCUGUAACUGACACUGAGGCGCGAAAGCGUGGGG
rnacentral:rRNA from 1 species